CAGCGUCACUACGUAGUGUCUGCGUUCACCUUUUUUCCGUAAGUGACCUGCCGAAGGAUCAAUUUUUUCGGUAAGUGACCCGCCAAAAGAUCACUUUUUUGGUGAACCGAAAAAAUAAUACUACAGCUAAUACAUGCGUCGAUACCCCUCUGGGGUAGCAUUUAUUAAAUGGAAACCAACCCCUUCGGGGUGAUGUGGUGAAUCAUAAUAAUCUUGCGGAUCGCCGGUGGCGAUGGAUCAUUCAAGUUUCUGCCCUAUCAGCUUUGGACGGUAAGGUAUUGGCUUACCGUGGCUUUAACGGGUAACGGGGAAUUAGGGUUCGAUUUUGGAGAGGGAGCUUGAAAGACGGCUUCCUAUCCAGGAAUGCAAUGGGCGCGAAAAUUGCCCAAUCUUGACACAA
rnacentral:rRNA from 1 species